GUGCUCACUUCAACAGCACAUGUACUACAAUUGGAAUGAUAAAGAGAAGAUUAGCAUGACCCCUGCCCAAUGAUGACACAUAAACUUGUGAAGUGUGCCAUAUUUUG